UACGAGGGGGGCGAGCGUUGUUCGGAUUCACUGGGCGUAAAGGGUGCGUAGGCGGUCGGGUAAGUCUGAUGUGAAAUCUCACAGCUUAACUGUGAAACUGCAUUGGAUACUAUCCGGCUCGAGGAAUGGAGGGGAGACUGGAAUACUUGGUGUAGCAGUGAAAUGCGUAGAUAUCAAGUGGAACACCAGUGGUGAAGGCGAGUCUCUGGACAUUUCCUGACGCUGAGGCACGAAAGCCAGGGGAGCAAACGGG
rnacentral:rRNA from 1 species